rnacentral:rRNA from 1 species
CAAGUCGAACGCGAAAGGGGGGGCAACUCCCCGAGUAGAGUGGCGAACGGGUGAGUAAUACAUCGGAACGUGUCCAGUAGCGGGGGAUAACCUCUCGAAAGAGAGGCUAAUACCGCAUACGACCUACGGGUGAAAGAGGGGGAUCGCAAGACCUCUCACUAUUGGAGCGGCCGAUGUCGGAUUAGCUAGUUGGCGGGGUAAAAGCCCACCAAGGCGACGAUCCGUAGCUGGUCUGAGAGGACGGCCAGCCACACUGGAACUGAGACACGGUCCAGACUCCUACGGGAGGCAGCAGUGGGGAAUUUUGGACAAUGGGCGCAAGCCUGAUCCAGCCAUGCCGCGUGAGUGAAGAAGGCCUUCGGGUUGUAAAGCUCUUUCGGCGGGGACGAAAAGGUCCGUGUUAACACCAUGGAUCCAUGACGGUACCCGCAGAAGAAGCACCGGCUAACUACGUGCCAGCAGCCGCGGUAAUACGUAGGGUGCAGGCGUUAAUCGGAAUUACUGGGCGUAAAGCGUGCGCAGGCGGUUUGCUAAGACAGGUGUGAAAUCCCCGGGCUUAACCUGGGAACUGCGCUUGUAACUGGCAAGCUAGAGUGUGGCAGAGGGGGGUGGAAUUCCACGUGUAGCAGUGAAAUGCGUAGAGAUGUGGAGGAACACCGAUGGCGAAGGCAGCCCCCUGGGCUAACACUGACGCUCAUGCACGAAAGCGUGGGGAGCAAACAGGAUUAGAUACCCUGAUAGUCCACGCCCUAAACUAUGUCAACUGGUUGUCGGGGAAGCAAUUCCUUGGUAACGAAGCUAACGCGUGAAGUUGACCGCCUGGGGAGUACGGCC